rnacentral:rRNA from 1 species
AGGGAAUCUUGGACAAUGGGCGAAAGCCUGAUCCAGCCAUGCCGCGUGUGUGAUGAAGGCCUUAGGGUUGUAAAGCACUUUCGCCAGGGAAGAUAAUGACGGUACCUGGAUAAGAAGCCCCGGCUAACUUCGUGCCAGCAGCCGCGGUAAUACGAAGGGGGCUAGCGUUGUUCGGAAUUACUGGGCGUAAAGCGCACGUAGGCGGCAUUCCAAGUUGGAGGUGAAAUCCCCGGGCUUAACCUGGGAACUGCCUCCAAAACUGGGAAGCUCGAGUCCGAGAGAGGUGAGUGGAAUUUCCAGUGUAGAGGUGAAAUUCGUAGAUAUUGGAAAGAACACCAGUGGCGAAGUCGGCUCACUGGCUCGGUACUGACGCUGAGGAGCGACAGCGUGGGGAGCAAAC